rnacentral:lncRNA from 1 species
GUUCCCUCAACUGUUGUAAUAUUUUCCUUCUACCUACAAAAUCUCCACGCCAAGCCACUUUGUGGAGUGGUCAUCAUGUCUGGGAGAGGAGUAGAAAGUACAUCUGCAGCCUCCCAAUAUCUCUCCUAUACAUGUGAUCAAGAAAUUACAACCGAAAGUAAACACUGAUAGAGGAGAAGCAUUCCAGACAGUGAAGCUGCAAAGACAGGAAAGGAACAAAAUCAAACAUUUUUACCUGAGGGAAAUCCAGGGAAACACAUACGACCUUGAGUCUCAGCAGAGAGAUG